GUUAUAUGGUCAAGUGAAGAAGCGCAUACGGUGGAUGCCUUGGCAGUCAGAGGCGAUGAAAGACGUGGUAGCCUGCGAAAAGCUUCGGGGAGUCGGCAAACAGACUUUGAUCCGGAGAUCUCUGAAUGGGGGAACCCACCUAGGAUAACCUAGGUAUCUUGUACUGAAUCCAUAGGUGCAAGAGGCGAACCAGGGGAACUGAAACAUCUAAGUACCCUGAGGAAAAGAAAUCAACCGAGAUUCCCUUAGUAGUGGCGAGCGAACGGGGAUUAGCCCUUAAGCUUCAUUGAUUUUAGCGGAACGCUCUGGAAAGUGCGGCCAUAGUGGGUGAUAGCCCCGUACGCGAAAGGAUCUUUGAAGUGAAAUCGAGUAGGACGGAGCACGAGAAACUUUGUCUGAACAUGGGGGGACCAUCCUCCAAGGCUAAAUACUACUGACUGACCGAUAGUGAACCAGUACCGUGAGGGAAAGGCGAAAAGAACCCCGGAGAGGGGAGUGAAAUAGAACCUGAAACCGUAUGCGUACAAGCAGUGGGAGCCUACUUGUUAGGUGACUGCGUACCUUUUGUAUAAUGGGUCAGCGACUUAUAUUCAGUGGCAAGCUUAACCGUAUAGGGUAGGCGUAGCGAAAGCGAGUCUUAAUAGGGCGUUUAGUCGCUGGGUAUAGACCCGAAACCGGGCGAUCUAUCCAUGAGCAGGUUGAAGGUUAGGUAACACUGACUGGAGGACCGAACCCACUCCCGUUGAAAAGGUAGGGGAUGACUUGUGGAUCGGAGUGAAAGGCUAAUCAAGCUCGGAGAUAGCUGGUUCUCCUCGAAAGCUAUUUAGGUAGCGCCUCAUGUAUCACUCUGGGGGGUAGAGCACUGUUUCGGCUAGGGGGUCAUCCCGACUUACCAAACCGAUGCAAACUCCGAAUACCCAGAAGUGCCGAGCAUGGGAGACACACGGCGGGUGCUAACGUCCGUCGUGAAAAGGGAAACAACCCAGACCGCCAGCUAAGGUCCCAAAGUUGUGGUUAAGUGGUAAACGAUGUGGGAAGGCUUAGACAGCUAGGAGGUUGGCUUAGAAGCAGCCAUCCUUUAAAGAAAGCGUAAUAGCUCACUAGUCGAGUCGGCCUGCGCGGAAGAUGUAACGGGGCUCAAACCACACACCGAAGCUGCGGGUGUCACGUAAGUGACGCGGUAGAGGAGCGUUCUGUAAGCCUGUGAAGGUGAGUUGAGAAGCUUGCUGGAGGUAUCAGAAGUGCGAAUGCUGACAUGAGUAACGACAAUGGGUGUGAAAAACACCCACGCCGAAAGACCAAGGGUUCCUGCGCAACGUUAAUCGACGCAGGGUUAGUCGGUUCCUAAGGCGAGGCUGAAAAGCGUAGUCGAUGGGAAACAGGUUAAUAUUCCUGUACUUCUGGUUACUGCGAUGGAGGGACGGAGAAGGCUAGGCCAGCUUGGCGUUGGUUGUCCAAGUUUAAGGUGGUAGGCUGAAAUCUUAGGUAAAUCCGGGGUUUCAAGGCCGAGAGCUGAUGACGAGUCGUCUUUUAGAUGACGAAGUGGUUGAUGCCAUGCUUCCAAGAAAAGCUUCUAAGCUUCAGGUAACCAGGAACCGUACCCCAAACCGACACAGGUGGUCGGGUAGAGAAUACCAAGGCGCUUGAGAGAACUCGGGUGAAGGAACUAGGCAAAAUGGCACCGUAACUUCGGGAGAAGGUGCGCCGGCUAGGGUGAAGGAUUUACUCCGUAAGCUCUGGCUGGUCGAAGAUACCAGGCCGCUGCGACUGUUUAUUAAAAACACAGCACUCUGCAAACACGAAAGUGGACGUAUAGGGUGUGACGCCUGCCCGGUGCCGGAAGGUUAAUUGAUGGGGUUAGCGCAAGCGAAGCUCUUGAUCGAAGCCCCGGUAAACGGCGGCCGUAACUAUAACGGUCCUAAGGUAGCGAAAUUCCUUGUCGGGUAAGUUCCGACCUGCACGAAUGGCGUAACGAUGGCGGCGCUGUCUCCACCCGAGACUCAGUGAAAUUGAAAUCGCUGUGAAGAUGCAGUGUAUCCGCGGCUAGACGGAAAGACCCCGUGAACCUUUACUGUAGCUUUGCACUGGACUUUGAGCCUGCUUGUGUAGGAUAGGUGGGAGGCUUUGAAGCGUGGACGCCAGUUCGCGUGGAGCCAUCCUUGAAAUACCACCCUGGCAUGCUUGAGGUUCUAACUCUGGUCCGU
rnacentral:rRNA from 1 species